UGGGGAAUUUUGGACAAUGGGCGCAAGCCCGAUCCAGCAAUGCCGCGUGCAGGAUGAAGGCCUUCGGGUUGUAAACUGCCUUUGUACGGAACGAAAAGCUUCUGGUUAAUACCUGGGAGUCAUGACGGUACCGUAAGAAUAAGCACCGGCUAACUACGUGCCAGCAGCCGCGGUAAUACGUAGGGUGCGAGCGUUAAUCGGAAUUACUGGGCGUAAAGCGUGCGCAGGCGGUUAUGUAAGACAGAGGUGAAAUCCCCGGGCUCAACCUGGGAACUGCCUUUGUGACUGCAUGGCUAGAGUGCGGCAGAGGGGGAUGGAAUUCCGCGUGUAGCAGUGAAAUGCGUAGACAUGCGGAGGAACACCGAUGGCGAAGGCAAUCCCCUGGGCCUGCACUGACGCUCAUGCACGAAAGCGUGGGGAGCAAACA
rnacentral:rRNA from 1 species